rnacentral:rRNA from 1 species
UACGGAGGGGGCAAGCGUUGUUCGGAAUUACUGGGCGUAAAGGGCGCGUAGGCGGCCACCGCAAGUCGACUGUGAAAUCUCCGGGCUUAACCCGGAAAGGUCAGCCGAUACUGGUGGGCUUGAAUCCGGGAGAGGGAUGCGGAAUUCCAGGUGUAGCGGUGAAAUGCGUAGAUAUCUGGAGGAACACCGGUGGCGAAGGCGGCAUCCUGGACCGGCAUUGACGCUGAGGCGCGAAAGCUAGGGGAGCAAACGGG